rnacentral:piRNA from 1 species
GGGAAUGACUGAAGGGCUCUGUGUGC